rnacentral:lncRNA from 1 species
UUCAUUGUUCAUGUAUCUGAGUCGAAAAAUAAAGGAAAAUCAAUAUAAAACAAAUCAAACUAGCAUAUUUUGGCCUCUUCUCGGAUUCUUCUUUCAUGAGUUUGUGUUAUCAAACUAGCGUAUAAUUUUUUUUAUUAUGGAUGAUUUUAUAUGGUCGAGAUAUGUAAAUGAUUUUUGUAAAAUACAAAAACUUGAUAGGCUAAAGAUGUGCCUAAACGCUUGAAAGGAAUGGAGUUCGCGAAAGCAAUGAAGACGUUUAC